rnacentral:lncRNA from 1 species
AGCUAUGGAUCAUAAGUUGUUGCAAUAUCUUUAAAAAUUGACGGUACACAUGCUUUUUAAAUAAGAUCUCAUCUCUGAGUUAGAGUAAACUGUUAAGACUUAAAACUUACUUACUUUACCUUCACCAUGGGACUUGUAACCGUCACUUCUGUCUUGAGUGGUUAAAAGAUAGAACAGUCUAGUCAAGUGCCAUGUCUCUUAUUCUUGAUCAGCUAUAGCUCUGGGGUUUUUGCAGAUUUUCAAAUAAAACUCAGAGAUUCCUUGUAUGACUCUCUCAUAUCUCACUUUUGUGGUAUUUCUAGAUCCUUACCAAGGCAGUAAUGGUAUAUGCCUUCUCUCAAGAUAUGUAGUAUUUGUGGUAUAAAGCAUAGUGACAUUGUCUUCUCUCUCACCCUACUCUAAUAAGGCUUUAAUAUCUGGAGCUCAUAGGUGGGAGAUAAAGUAUACAUACUUACAAGACAUUUAUUGCAUAGUCAAACCAUGGAUCCAAAGAAACAAAUCAAUAAGCCAAAUCAAGAUGUGCAUGUGUGGCGAAUGAAUGAUGUAUGGUGAUGAUGGUGAUAACAAUGGUGAAAACAAUGGUGGUUGAAGUCUAAUUCUACUUUUACUCUUUAAGGGGAUGCAUACCUUCCUUGCUUUUUAAACUUUAUGAGGAGAAUGAGAUGCUCUUCUUUUUCUUUUCUCUUAGGUGGGUAUCUUGUACCCCUAAUUCUACUGUCGGACACUUGUCCAUUUUUACCUCUCGUCUCACUUUUUCUUUUCUUUCGAGGUUCCGAGCACUUGCUCCUUUUUAUUUCCUCGUAUAUAUUUUUUUUAGAGCACUCAUCUCUUGAGAUAAUGUAGCAAGUGGUAGUAACAAGAUAACUUGAGCAUUUAUUUCACAAGGGAAAACAGAAAUAUUUUUGGCUAUUCUCUCCCGGAUUAGGAGUACAAUAUUUUUUUGGUGUUUCUGGAGAUGGAAAUGGAUGGAUUUAUGUGGAUGGUACUUCCGGAGUACAAGUAGCAUAUAUGAGUGAACGUGCAAGUGAAUCUUGAUUUUAACCACAUGACAAGCUCCUAAGGGUCUACACAGCUUGACCACACUCAAUGCUCAUAAGCAGUAAAUAUUAAAUGUGUGGCUCAAAGUCUAGCAAGCAUGUAUAUAUGGCUAUGGUAGGAAUUUAAACUCUCAUCAUACAGGAACUCAUCAUGCAACAUUUUAAAGAUUUUCAAAGAUAAAAUUCUCCAGAAUUCUAGCAUUUCUAGGAACAGAUAAACAGCAGCUCAACCUUCCCAUAUCGUAUCCGUUAACAACUUAGACUUCACAUCAAGUUUUCAUCCCACAAGUUUAGGUCU